GACAGAGGGUGCAAGCGUUGUUCGGAAUCACUGGGCGUAAAGCGCGCGUAGGCGGCUGGGUAAGUCGGAUGUGAAAGCCCGGGGCUCAACCCCGGAACUGCAUCCGAAACUGCUCAGCUUGAGUCCCGGAGAGGGUGGUGGAAUUCCUGGUGUAGAGGUGAAAUUCGUAGAUAUCAGGAGGAACACCGGUGGCGAAGGCGACCACCUGGACGGAGACUGACGCUGAGGUGCGAAAGCGUGGGGAGCAACAGG
rnacentral:misc_RNA from 1 species